UAGCAACCAGAUGGCUGAAAUUGCAGACUGGAGAGCUGCUGUUCCUGGACCUUUAAUGCAGCACAUGUGGAGUUAAGUUGCUGUGAUGGCUGGUGGGUGGAGCCUGUAGCUAUGGUUGUGGGGGUGGAGCUUGCUGUGCUGCUGAAACCAGGAAGAAGAGCAGCAGUAGCAGGAGAAUGGCAGGUCGGUACUGGGACAAACUGCAGGAUCUGAGGCAGAAAUACAAGGAAUACGUCAUCAUCAAUCCCACAGGGGCCACACAGAUGGAGAGUGCCGUCUGCAUACUCUCCUACAUUAUUGCAGGCCCACUCAUGGACUACCUACCUGUCUGGCAGAAGAUCUAUUUCUAUAACUGGGGCUGAAAGCAGUCCGUCUGUAUGGACAACGGACAGAUCUAGUUCACGGCACUAUUUCGGCUGAAGUGGAUCCAUUCGGUCACAUGACUGACAGAAGCACAGAAUUCCCACCACCCACCCAGCGUGCCUCUCUGACCCACCUCAAAGUGACGGGAACCUCCGUGGAUUAAUAAUUAUUUGAUCCAAUGAAAUGCGCAAGUGUCAGUUUAAUACACACUGGAUGCAACACAGCGGCGCGACUGCUUUAUGGAGCAACAAUAUACACUGUAACACUACAACAUUGGGCCCAUAUGUGCUAAGCUACACAGAUAACUAUUGGUGACCCCCCAACAUGGUUUCACUAGAUCAGUAAAAGCUAAAUCUGAUUGGUUGCUAAAGGUUCCAGGCCUGGGAUACCUUUUCCUUCAUAUGUGCCUAGUUUUUAGCCAAGUCUCGUGUGUAGCCACAUGGCAGCGUUUUCCCCAGGCUGUCAAUUCUAUAACUGUGUUACACAAACCAAUAAACUGAUUCUAUUGUC